ACUCCUACGGGAGGCAGCAGUGGGGAAUAUUGCACAAUGGGGGAAACCCUGAUGCAGCCAUGCCGCGUGUGUGAAGAAGGCCUUGGGUUGUAAAGCACUUUCAGUAGGGAGGAAGGUAGUGUAGUUAACACCUGCAUUAUUUGUACGUUACCUACAGAAGAAGCACCGGCUAACUCCGUGCCAGCAGCCGCGGUAAGUACGGAGGGUGCGAGCGUUAAUCGGAAUUACUGGGCGUAAAGCGCAUGCAGGCGGCCUGUUAAGUCAGAUGUGAAAGCCCGGGGCUUAACCUCGGAAUUGCAUUUGAAACUGGCAGGCUAGAGUCUGUAGAGGGGUUAGAAUUUCAGGUGUAGCGGUGAAAUGCGUAGAGAUCUGAAGGAAUACCGAGUGGCG
rnacentral:rRNA from 1 species